rnacentral:siRNA from 1 species
UGUCUACGAGUCGGGUUGUUUG